AGCUUACUGGGCGUAAAGCCCGCGUAAGCUCAUUGGAAAGUUGGGGGUGAAAUCCCGGGGCUCAACCCCGGAACUGCCUCCAAAACUGCCAGUCUAGAGUUCGAGAGAGGUGAGUGGAACUCCAAGUGUAGAGGUGAAAUUCGUAGAUAUUUGGAAGAACACCAGUGGCGAAGGCGGCUCACUGGCUCGAUACUGACGCUGAGGUGCGAAAGUGUGGGGAGCAAACAGGAUUAGAUACCCUGGUAGUCCACACCGUAAACGAUGAAUGCCAGUCGUCGGGUAGUAUACUAUUCGGUGACACACCUAACGGAUUAAGCAUUCCGCCUGGGGAGUACGGUCGCAAGAUUAAAACUCAAAGGAAUUGACGGGGGCCCGCACAAGCGGUGGUUAAUAA
rnacentral:rRNA from 1 species